UGACACGGGUGAGAGCUGAAGUAGGU
rnacentral:piRNA from 1 species